UACGAGAGGCCCAAACGUUAUUCGGAAUUACUGGGCUUAAAGAGUUCGUAGGCGGCAUUGCAAGUAGGGUGUGAAAGCCCUCGGCUCAACCGAGGAAUUGCGCUCUAAACUGCAGUGCUCGAGGAAGCUAGAGGUGAGCAGAACAGAUGGUGGAGCGGUGAAAUGCGUUGAUAUCAUCUGGAAUACCGGAGGCGAAGGCGGCUCACUGGGGCUUUUCUGACGCUGAGGAACGAAAGCGUGGGGAGCAAAAGGG
rnacentral:rRNA from 1 species